rnacentral:rRNA from 1 species
GUGAACGCUGGCGGCAGGCCUAACACAUGCAAGUCGCGCGGCAGCGCGGGGGCAACCCUGGCGGCGAGCGGCGGACGGGUGAGGAAUUCGUCGGAAUCUGCCUUUUUGUGGGGGAUAACGUAGGGAAACUUACGCUAAUACCGCAUACGUCCUACGGGAGAAAGUGGGGGACCGCAAGGCCUCACGCAGAAAGAUGAGCCGACGACCGAUUAGCUAGUUGGUGGGGUAAAGGCCCACCAAGGCGACGAUCGGUAGCUGGUCUGAGAGGAUGAUCAGCCACACUGGGACUGAGACACGGCCCAGACUCCUACGGGAGGCAGCAGUGGGGAAUAUUGGACAAUGGGCGCAAGCCUGAUCCAGCCAUGCCGCGUGUGUGAAGAAGGCCUUCGGGUUGUAAAGCACUUUUGUCCGGAAAGAAAUCCCUGGAGCUAAUACCUUCGGGGGAUGACGGUACCGGAAGAAUAAGCACCGGCUAACUUCGUG